GAUGAACGCUGGCGGCGUGCCUAAUACAUGCAAGUCGAGCGAACGGACGAGAAGCUUGCUUCUCUUAUGUUAGCGGCGGACGGGUGAGUAACACGUGGAUAACCUACCUAUAAGACUGGGAUAACUUCGGGAAACCGGAGCUAAUACCGGAUGAUAUUUUGAACCGCAUGGUUCAAAAGUGAAAGACGGUCUUGCUGUCACUUAUAGAUGGAUCCGCGCUGCAUUAGCUAGUUGGUAAGGUAACGGCUUACCAAGGCAACGAUGCAUAGCCGACCUGAGAGGGUGAUCGGCCACACUGGAACUGAGACACGGUCCAGACUCCUACGGGAGGCAGCAGUAGGGAAUCUUCCGCAAUGGGCGAAAGCCUGACGGAGCAACGCCGCGUGAGUGAUGAAGGUCUUCGGAUCGUAAAACUCUGUUAUUAGGGAAGAACAUAUGUGUAAGUAACUGUGCACAUCUUGACGGUACCUACUCAGAAAGCCACGGCUAACUACGUG
rnacentral:rRNA from 1 species